UGGCUCAGGAUGAACGCUAGCUACAGGCUUAACACAUGCAAGUCGAGGGGCAGCAGGGAUUUAGCUUGCUAAAUUCGCUGGCGACCGGCGCACGGGUGCGUAACGCGUAUCCUAACUUUCCCGUUACUCUCGGAUAGCCUUCCGAAAGGGAGAUUAAUACGAGAUGGUGUUCAGUUUCCGCAUGUUUGCUGAACUAAAGAUUCAUCGGUAACGGAUAGGGAUGCGUGACAUUAGGUAGAUGGCGGGGUAACGGCCCACCAUGCCUACGAUGUCUAGGGGUUCUGAGAGGAAGGUCCCCCACACUGGAACUGAGACACGGUCCAGACUCCUACGGGAGGCAGCAGUGAGGAAUAUUGGUCAAUGGCCGGAAGGCUGAACCAGCCAAGUAGCGUGAAGGAUGAAGGUUCUAUGGAUUGUAAACUUCUUUUAUACGGGAAUAAAACCACCUACGUGUAGGUGCUUGUAUGUACCGUAUGAAUAAGCAUCGGCUAACUCCGUG
rnacentral:rRNA from 1 species